GACGAACGCUGGCGGCGUGCUUAACACAUGCAAGUCGAACGGGCCCGCUCUCUUUUUUGGGGGUGGGUUGAGUGGCGAACGGGUGAGUAUCACGUGAGUAACCUGCCCCCUGCUCCUGGAUAACUGCUUGAAAGGGCGGCUAAUACGGGGUGUGCCGGCUGGUCCGCAUGGGCCUGGUCGGGAUAGUUUCAUCUUCGGGUGUUUCGGUGGGGGAUGGGCUCGUGGCCUAUCAGCUUGUUGGUGGGGUGAUGGCCCACCAAGGCGGUGACGGGUAGCCGACCUGAGAGGGUGGGCGGCCACACUGGGACUGAGACACGGCCCAGACUGCUGCGGGAGGCAGCAGUGGGGGGUAUUGCACAAUGGGCGGAAGCCUGAUGCAGCGACGUCGCGUGAGGGAUGGAGGCCUUCGGGUUGUGAACCUCUUUCUCCGGUGGUGAAGGCCCUGUCCGUUGCGGCGGGGUUGACGGUAGCCGGGGAUGAAGCGCCGGCUAACUACGUG
rnacentral:rRNA from 1 species